rnacentral:rRNA from 1 species
GACGAACGCUGGCGGCGUGCUUAACACAUGCAAGUCGAACGGAAAGGCCCUGCUUGCAGGGUACUCGAGUGGCGAACGGGUGAGUAACACGUGGGUGAUCUGCCCUGCACUUCGGGAUAAGCCUGGGAAACUGGGUCUAAUACCGGAUAGGAGCCAUUUUUAGUGUGAUGGUUGGAAAGUUUUUUCGGUGUGGGAUGAGCUCGCGGCCUAUCAGCUUGUUGGUGGGGUAAUGGCCUACCAAGGCGGCGACGGGUAGCCGGCCUGGGGGGGUGGACGGCCACAUUGGGACUGAGAUACGGCCCAGACUCCUACGGGAGGCAGCAGGGGGGAAUAUUGCACAAUGGGCGCAAGCCUGAUGCAGCGACGCCGCGUGGGGGAUGACGGCCUUCGGGUUGUAAACUCCUUUCGCUAGGGACGAAGCUUUUUGUGACGGUACCUAGAGAAGAAGCACCGGCUAACUACGUG